rnacentral:ncRNA from 2 species
CCAGAGUGGAUCCUGAGUACGGCGGAACACGUGAAAUUCCGUCGGAAUCCGGGAGGACCAUCUCCCAAGGCUAAAUACUACCUAGUGACCGAUAGUGAACCAGUACCGUGAGGGAAAGGUGAAAAGCACCCCGGGAGGGGAGUGAAAGAGAUCCUGAAACCGUGUGCCUACAAGUAGUUAGAGCCCGUUAAUGGGUGAUAGCGUGCCUUUUGUAGAAUGAACCGGCGAGUUACGAUUACGUGCAAGGUUAAGCUGUAGAAGGCGGAGCCGCAGCGAAAGCGAGUCUGAAUAGGGCGAAGUAGUACGUGGUCGUAGACCCGAAACCAGGUGAUCUACCCAUGUCCAGGGUGAAGGUAAGGUAACACUUACUGGAGGCCCGAACCCACGCACGUUGAAAAGUGCGGGGAUGAGGUGUGGGUAGCGGAGAAAUUCCAAUCGAACCUGGAGAUAGCUGGUUCUCUCCGAAAUAGCUUUAGGGCUAGCCUCGUGAUGAGAAUACUGGAGGUAGAGCACUGUUUGGACGAGGGGGCCAUCCCGGUUUACCGAAUUCAGACAAACUCCGAAUGCCAGAUAUUUAUACACGGGAGUCAGACUGCGAGUGAUAAGANGUAGAGCACUGUUUGGACGAGGGGGCCAUCCCGGUUUACCGAAUUCAGACAAACUCCGAAUG